UCGAGCUUUUCUGGACCAGCAUUUGCGGAUAAAUAAAUCCCAUCACGUUUUGCAAUAUAUACACGUAACUCACCACAUCGAGGAAUUGGAGCACUUCCUCUGUACGCUCUAAAGUGUUGAGAAUACCCCCCUUGUUGCACUAAGCAAUGCCAUGUUGUUCUUUCAAAUGCAGCCUCGCGGAAAUUAAUUCGAACUGUAUCACUUUGGAAUUUCACUGUGCCUGUGACUCGGUUUUUGUUGUU